UCCCGGUGUAACCUGUUGUAGUGUAAUAUUGUUGUAAAGAAGACAGAUUUCAUUGGCACAGAAACUAUAUGUGCUUCCUCCCGCUGUUCUUCCUCUUCAGGGCCAGGAUCCAGGCGGGAAGAGCAGACCGCCGCCCCGUGACAGAACCCCCGUCUGUGCCACAGUCCUCCUCUGAAUCAUUUGACUGCAGAGCCACUUCCACCGGCGGUAUCUCCUCCACCUUCUCCGCAAAAUGAACCCGCCGGUUGGGCUCGACUCGUCUCUGAUGGCCAAGAAAGAGGUUCCAGUUCAGUGAAAAAUGGUGUCAUAAUUGGGAUCUUUGGUUGAAAAACCACCUGUGGGGUGCCCAGUGAAUCAGGAAACCCCUCUGCGAGAAACAGAAGAGUAAAUGUGGAAGCCUCCGCACAAAUUCCUCAGAGUUCUGCGACAAACAAGUGGAUCGUUGGUCAAAAGACCGCCCAUGGGAUACCCAGUGUCCAAAAGACCCAGAUUGGUUCCAGUUCAGUGAAAAAUUGUGUCAGAAUUGGGACCUUUGGUCAAAAGACCACCCGUGGGGUGCCCAGUGCCCAAAGAACCCAGAUAGGUUCCAGUUCAGUGAAAAAUGGUGUCAGAAUUGGGAUUUUUGGUUGAAAAACCACCUGUGGGGUGCCCAGUGAAUCAGGAAAUCCCUCUGCGAGAAACAGAAGAGUAAAUGUGGAAGCCUCCGCACAAAUUCCUCAGAGUUCUGCGACAAACAAGAGGAUCUUUGCUCAAAAGACCGCCCAUGGGAUACCCAGUGUCCAAAAGACCCAGAUUGGUUCCAGUUCAGUGAAAAAUGGUGUCAGAAUUGGGACCUUUGAUCAAAAGACCACACGUGGGGUGCCCAGUGCCCAAAGAACCCAGAUAGGUUCCAGUUCAGUGAAAAAUGGUGUCAUAGUUGGGAUCUUUGGUUGAAAAACCACCUGUGGGGUGCCCAGUGAAUCAGGAACCCAAGACAGGUAACCCCUCUGUGAGAAACAGAAGAGUAAAUGUGGAAGCCUCCACACAAAUUCUUCAGAGUUAUGCGACAAACAAGUGGAUCUUUGGUCAAAAGACCGCCCAUGGGACACCCAGUGUACAAAAGACCCAGAUU